AGAUUAGUGGAGGAAUGGAAGAAGGAAACGAGUGGAGAAAGAAAAAGUGGAGUGAACAGAGAGAGCGAGAGAAAGAGAAGAGAGAAGCACGAGAAAGUCACCCCCAUUCUCUCUCUCUCUCCCUCUCUCUCCCAUCCCUUCCGCCAGCCGCCAAGCAAGUCAGUCACUCAGUCAAUCGGCCGCCAGCAUCGAGGAAGGGUGUACGCGCUGCUUCCCUCGUCCCCGUGUGUGAAACUUUUUCGUGACUUCUACUUCCCUUCCUCCGGCGGGACUAAGACAUCUUGAGUGUGUUUCUUGUGUGUUGUGUGUGUGUUGAGGGUGUAAUACUGUGUUUGGGAGAGGUGGAGAGGAGAGGAGUGAGUGGGUGGACUGGUGGACUGGUGGACUGGUUGUUAGCGCUGCGUCUUGGAUCAGCACCAGUUAGCACACGGGCCGCAGUGAUGGAAACGUGAUAUAGGGACGGUCAGCACUCAGCACCCACGUCAGCACUUCAGAGAGAUACGGGAAGGGUCAGGACACAGUAACGGUCAGCACCCACGUCAGCAUAAUACAGAAAGGUACAGGCAUAUUCAGCAUCGCAUCAGCACUUAAACAGUUAUAUAAGAAUACGUGAAGACAAGACUCAGCAUCGGUCAGCACCACUUAAGCAUUUCGUCAGCAUAAUACAAAAAGGUACAGGUAUACUCAGCAUCCCGUCAGCACUUCAGCAGUUAUAUAAGAAUUCGUGGAGAUAAGACUCAGCAUCGGUCAGCACCACGUCAGCACUUCUUAAGCAUAAUUCAGAAAGGUACAGGUAUACUCAGCAUCGCAUCAGCACUUAAACAGUUAUAUAAGAAUACGUGCAGACAAGACUCAGCAUCGGUCAGCACCACGUCAGCACGAAAACGUAGAUGAAGGGAGGCAGUUGAAGUGAAGAGGAAAGUAGAGGCGGAAGAACGAAGAGGGGAAGAACGAGAGAAGAAAUAAAGAGGGAAUUAAGUGGAAAGAGGAAAGAUAGAAAGGAAGAGAGGAAGAACUGGAGAAGAUAAAAUGAUGGAAGUAGGUGAAGAGGGGAGAUAGAAAAGGAGAAAGGCAGAGAGGAAGAACUGGACGAGGAAGGAAAGAUAGAAAAGAGGAGACGAAGAGGGGAACAACUGGACAAGAUAGAAGGAAAGGAGAAGAUAGAAAGAGGAAAGUAGGUGAAGAGAAGAUAGAAAAGGAAGAAAGAGGAUAAAGGAAGAGAGGAAGAACUGAACGAGGAAGGAAAGAUAGAAAAGAGGAAACGAAGAGGGGAACAACUGGACAAGAUAGAAGGAAAGGAGAAGAUAGAAAGAGGAAAAUAGGUGGAGAGAGGAGAUAGAAAAAAGGAGAAAGGAAGAGAAUAGGAAGAAGGAAGUACCAAAGUGAAGUGGAGAACGAAGAAGCAGGAAGGUGCGCGCAAGCUUCGAACUCAGCAUCGGUCAGCACUAACUAAUUGCUGAGGCGCCCCCCCCCCUCCCCUCUUCACACACCUGCCUCGAGUUCUCAGAUCUGAGCCAGGCCGCGAAACUCACCUUCUCGCUCACCUCACCUCACCUUCGCCUCACCUGCCCGAGCUCACCUGUGCCCACCUGCCCCACCGUGUCUGGCGUCGUUGGGCGAGUGAGUUUUCCGCCUCCUCAACGGCACACCAAUCACGCAGACCUCGCCAGCAGCUUCAACAAUGCAUCACAACAUAAUAAAACCAUCUCAGGGGAACAAAAGCUUCAGUACCUCGCGUUCGCUGCUUUUGUGCCGCGCUGCAGAGGCUCGGCUGACUCGUGCGCGGUAAUUAAUUAAUGGGACUCACCUGGUUGUAAUCAGGUACGCGUUUUAUAUGUAUUUUUUGGGGAAUUAUAAAUGUGGUUUUUUUUUAUGGGUAAGAGACGUGAUUUGACUGAGUUUUGUUUUAUUGGAAAAUACACCAAACAAAUAUUACGGGGAAGAAUGAGAGGAUGGAGGAAGGAAGAAGAAGAAAAAGAAAGAGGAGGAAGGGAGAGAAAGAAGGAAGUAAAUUAAAUAAUCAAUAAAGAAAUAUGUAAAUUAAUUGAUAAAGUGCAUAGUACGUAAUUAAAUAUGAAAGAAACUAGAACUUAUUAAAGGAAAUGAAAUAAGUGAUAAGUAAGCAAAAGAAGAGAUAAAAAAAGAAAAGAAGAGGAAAAAGAAAAGGAUGAAGAAGUUGAAAAAGAGAAACAGUGAGUGAAAGGCUAAACUGAAAAUUACAAAACAAAAAAUAAAAAAUAAAAUGAAAUUGUUUAAGAAAGAAACUAAACAAAAAAAUAAAUAUACAAAACACCGAGGCCAACACACCAAAGCAUGCAAUAAAAAUAAAAAGAUAGCUCCCACGUGCGUCUUUUCUUUACGCCAAUUAGCUGGCAGAAAAUAAGAUAAAAUAAUGUAAUAAAAAAAAACGAGGCUAACACACUAAAGCAUACAAUCACACAAAAACAUAAAAAAAAACAAUAAUAAUCCCACGCUCAUCUUUUUUAUUCCAAUUUACUAGACAGGAAAUGAAGGGACAGCCGAUCAUUAGCUGGGAGAAAAUAAGAUAAAAUAACGUAAUAAA